rnacentral:lncRNA from 1 species
UGCAAUGCCAUGCAAAAUUCCAGCAAGUUUUUAGAAAUUGACAAGCUGACUCUAACAUUUAUAUGGAAAUGCAAAGGACCUAGGAUAAACAGUGUUGGAAAAGAAAAAUAAUUUGGAAGAAUUAUACCACCUGACUUCCAGUCUUACUACAAAGCCACAGUAAUCAGUCAGUAUGGUAGAUUAUUGGCAUAAGCGUAGACAUAUCGAUCCAUGGGAACAGUAAUAGACCUACACAUACAGAGUCAAUUGAUUUGCACUGAAGGAACCAAGUUAUUUCAGUGGAGAUAGGAUAGUGUUUUAAAGCAAAAAGCAACUAAAACGAUAUCCACAUUAAAAAAAAAAAAAACCAACUUCAACCUUUACCUUGCACUCUACACAAAAAUUACCUUGAAAUGGAUUAUAGCCAUGAAUUUAAAGAUUUAUAGAGCUGGCCUGGCGCGGUGGCUCAUGCCUGUAAUCCCAGCACUUUGGGAGGCUGAGGCAGGUGGAUCACGAGGUAAGGAGAUGAAGACCAUCCUAGCUAACACGGUGAAACCCCGUCUCUACUAAAAAAAAAAAAAGUUAUACAAAAAAUUAGCCGGGCGUGGUGGCCGACGCUGUAGUCCCAGCUACACGGGAGGCUGAGGCAGGAGAAGGGCGUGAACCUGGGAGGCGGAGCUUGCAGUGAGCUGAGAUAGUGCCACUGCACUCCAGCCUGGGAGAGACGCCGUCUCAAAAAAAAAAAAAAAGAUUUAUAGAGCUAACCAUUCUUUCCUUGGGGUUGCGCUACUGUCCAAUGAGUGCGUGGUGAGGGCACUACUGCUAACACGUACACAACACACCUACAUCAAC